UGCCCCUGUAUGCUAGGCUACAUGUUUCAACGUAUGUGUGUGUGUCUUUGCAGUGGAUGUGUGCCGCAAGUGGUGGAAGGGGCUGCGGGACGUUUACUUGAGGGAGAAAAGGAGGGAGAAAGAAGGCGGGAGAAGCGGGUCGGCGGCCUCCCAGCAGAGGAAGUGGCGUUUCACUGCGGUGAUGUCCUUCCUCGACCCCUUUAUUGCCCCGAGGGACACAUCAAGCAACAUGUCUCGGGAGGUCGAGGAAGACUUCACUGCAGAUAAUGCUGCUUCUUCUGCUGGGAUGCCUGAAGACCUGGAGGAAGCAGGCCCCUCAGGAGUGGAGUUUGACGGUUGGUUGAUGAGUGAAAAACAUAGCAAAUAAAUUUGAGUCCCCUCAUGGUUUAAACACACCAUUGUAGUCUAAUUUAAGAUGGACAGAUCAAGUCAUGCACAUGUAAUGUGUGAACAUUUUUUAUUUGAAUAACAAUGUUGCCUGAUUGCAGAGUUUUGAUUUCAGACAUUUUUGUCACAACUUUAACUAAAGAUAAGCCUGCUCCCUCUCCUGCUUCAGCUCCCUCUCCUGCAGCAGCUCCCUCUCCUGCCCCAGCUCCAUCUCCUGCUUCAGCUCCCUCUCCUGCCCCGUCAGCUUCUCCUGCUCCCUCAACUGCGGCAAGUGAUGCCUCGGGCCCCACUGCAGCCAGGCCAAGAGGUAUAGAAAUUAAAUAUUAACCAUAUAUUCAAUGAAAUUGCUCAAGGUCACAUAGAAAUUAUAAAACAAAUAGUAACCGAUUAGUUUUUUUUUAUGACAGGGAGGAAGAGGAGGACGCCUCCCUCCUCACGACUGGAGGAGAUUGAGGAGCUCCUCUGUCAGGCCCUGAGGAGGCAGCAGACUCCCCCUCCACCACCACCACCACCACCACCCACAUCUCGCUAUCCCGAG